rnacentral:lncRNA from 1 species
UACACUAACCUCUAAAAGAGAUGGGGAUAUUGCUGGAGCAUAGACUCCCGUGUCUCCCAAGUGCAUUCUUCCAUAUUGUGGUGGUUCCAAAGGACUUUCACCAUCGGGAUUUCCUUAUUCCUCAACUUCCUGAUCUGGGUGUCUAUGAUCCGCACUGGCUGCUCAACAUAAGUGAGAUCCUCUUGGAUCUCUACAUCAGGCUCACUAAGAACCUUGCCCGGAUCUGACACGAACUUCCUCAACAUAGAAACAUGGAAAACCGGAUGGAUUCUUUCCAUUGAAGCAGGUAAA